rnacentral:lncRNA from 1 species
AUCGCUUUGUCUCGCUUUUUCAACUAAAGUCGAAGGCUUGACAAAAAUGUGAUGCACACUGUUAAUUAACCCGCUAUGCGCGUUAUUCCGCUAUGCGCGUUAUUCAGUGUACACCAAAUUUUUUAUGUUAUUUCUUCAUAGACAGAAAAAAUAUAAGAUUCUAAUACUUUUCAUCAAUGGAGAUUUGGAACUAAACCUCUUUUCCAAAAAGAUGAGCACUUCACCAUACUACAAAAUUAUAAUGAAAAUUGGAUCGAUUGAUUGUUGUUUGAUGUGGCAAUUUGGAAAUUGGAUAACAUUAUUGAAUAGCGCUCGUCUCCUUAUAAAAUAACACCAGAUCAUAAUGCUGUUUCAGAACAAUAUACAUGUAUAACAGAUAUUGCAUACAUAAAAUAAACACAAUGCAAGAAUUGAUCAAACGUACAUAAUAUCAAGGGGUCAAAAGUAAUUUACAUCAGUCAUUCAAAGCAUUUGUACAAAAUGAGAAAGAAACAUUGCUGACUUGUAUGUUAACUAAACAAGUCCAGUGACAUAGAUCCUUAAUAUGAGACACUUGUGAAACUAAUGUACAGAAUUAAAAAAAAUGUAAACAAUGAAUGUUCAUUUGUAAAGUUUCAGGGGACUUUGGCAUCACAUUAUAUGCUAAAUAGCUUCAUAAUUGUGGUGUACAUUUCGUUUAAGUACAUCUUGUAAAAAUUUAUUCUUGACUUAGUAAAAAUUAUAAAUGGAAUCAUUGUAAAACCAUUCAAAAAAUGAAUGUGUAAAUAAUAUCAUUUUGGUACUUUUAUUAUUGUACAAAACUACUUGAAAAAUAAAUCAGGAUUGUGCAAAUAAUAGUUUUUUUCAAUGUCACAUGGUGGUAAAUAUUAAGGUGCCAUAUCAUGGAGGGCUACAAAAAUUGUAAAUACCAAAUAACUGGAAAAUCCACAUUUGUGUUGUUAAUGUGACCUUAUGCAAAUGUACAAUUAAAUCAUGUCAUUGUAAACAACAAUUUGUCACCAAUAGGGGAUAGUAGUAGAAGGGAUUAAUUUCCACAAUUGCCUGACAGAAAUUUGUAUUUAAUGGAUCAUUAGAAGUUGGUGUCAUAUUUAUAUAACAACACACAUUUAUUAUACAUCCUGUAUGACAAGACUCUUUUUCAAUGCAAUUAUUCAAAUAUAAAUAGAAGGAGAAUGUAUGACAUUCCAAGGUUUUGAAAGAAUUAUUGUUUUAAGUAUUGAAAUUUAUCAGGAAUGCAAAGUCUCACAAGGUAAAUUGCCAUCUAUCCUACUCUCAAAGAAAGCCCUGAUGCACUUAUUUAUUUCUUAUUGCUUUUGAUGGUAUUGAUGAAUUGCUAUAUACAAAUAAAACAAAACACUAUAUAUUUAAAUGUACAUUUUCUGUAAACUGAAAGUAAAUUUAAAAGUACAAUUUUCUAUUAAUACAAUUUAUAUUUCCACAAAAGAAAACAACAUGUUUACUUGCAACAUAAUUCAGUGCUCUUGAUCUUUUUACAAAAUGUUAUGUAUAUGGAAAACUGAGGUGUAAAAACCUCUGAUUAAUGAGUAUGACAAUGUCCUCCUAGACUUCCUUGUGUAACAGAAAGGUAUACCCCUGUUAUAUCUAUGACCUUUAAAAACAAAUUGAUCCAAUUUAGUUGUUCCCAUAUCUCUGUUAUUAAAUGUCUUUACAAGAAGUAAUCUGGCUGUGGUUUCUUUGAUGGUAUUCCCCUAGAUUCCU